rnacentral:rRNA from 1 species
AAGUCAGCAUGGCCUUUAUAUCUUGGGCUACACACACGCUACAAUGGUCUGUACAAUAGGUUGCCAAGCCGCGAGGCGGAGCCAAUCCUAAAAGCAGGCCUCAGUUCAGAUUGCAGUCUGCAACCCGACUGCAUGAAGAUGGAGUUGCUAGUAACCGCAGGUCAGCUAUACUGCGGUGAAUACGUUCCCGGGUCUU